GACGUAGGAGGCGAGCGUUGUCCGGAUUCAUUGGGCGUAAAGAGCACGCAGGCGGUUUGGCAAGUCGGAUGUGAAAACCCGGAGCUCAACUCCGGACCUGCAUCCGAAACUGCCCGACUAGAGGUAGGUAGGGGAGAUCGGAAUUCCUGGUGUAGCGGUGAAAUGCGCAGAUAUCAGGAGGAACACCUGUGGCGAAAGCGGCGCACUGGACCACAACUGACGCUGAGGCGCGAAAGCUAGGGGAGCAAACAGG
rnacentral:rRNA from 1 species